GCGGUAGGCUUAACACAUGCAAGUCGAGCGAGAAAGUAUCUUCGGAUGCGAGUAUAGCGGCGGACGGGUGAGUAACGCGUAGGAAUCUACCUAGUAGAAGGGGAUAGCCCGAGGAAACUCGGAUUAAUACCGUAUACCUCCUUUGGGAGAAAGAGGGCCUCUCUUGAUGCUCUCGCUAUUAGAUGAGCCUGCGUAAGAUUAGCUUGUUGGUAAGGUAAUGGCUUACCAAGGCUACGAUCUUUAGCUGGUCUGAGAGGACGAUCAGCCACAUUGGGACUGAGACACGGCCCAGACUCCUACGGGAGGCAGCAGUGGGGAAUAUUGGACAAUGGGCGCAAGCCUGAUCCAGCCAUACCGCGUGUGUGAAGAAGGCCUUCGGGUUGUAAAGCACUUUAAGCAGGGAGAAAAAGUUAUAAGUUAAUACCUUAUAGCCGUGAUGUUACCUGCAGAAUAAGCACCGGCUAAUUCCGUGCCAGCAGCCGCGGUAAUACGGAAGGUGCAAGCGUUAAUCGGAAUUACUGGGCGUAAAGCGCGCGUAGGUGGUUUGUUAAGUUGGAUGUGAAAGCCCUGGGCUCAACCUAGGAACUGCAUCCAAAACUAACUCACUAGAGUACGAUAGAGGGAGGUAGAAUUCAUAGUGUAGCGGUGGAAUGCGUAGAUAUUAUGAAGAAUACCAGUGGCGAAGGCGGCCUCCUGGAUCUGUACUGACACUAAGGUGCGAAAGCGUGGGUAGCGAACAGGAUUAGAUACCCUGGUAGUCCACGCCGUAAACGAUGACAACUAGCUGUUGGAAGACAAUGUUUUUCAGUGGCGCAGCUAACGUUUUAAGUUGUCCGCCUGGGGAG
rnacentral:rRNA from 1 species